rnacentral:rRNA from 1 species
AUACGGAGGAUGCAAGCGUUAUCCGGGUUUAUUGGGUUUAAAGGGUGCGUAGGCGGACAGUCAAGCAGGGGGUGAAAUGCCGGCGCUCAACGUCGGAAGUGCCUCCCGAACUGGUGGACUGGAAUGACUCUGCCGUGGGAGGAAUGUGUAGUGUAGCGGUGAAAUGCUUAGAGAUUACACAGAACACCGAUUGCGAAGGCAGCUCACGAAGGGUUGAUUGACGCUGAGGCACGAAAGCGUGGGGAUCAAACAGGAUUAGAUACCCUGGUAGUCCACGCAGUAAACGAUGAUGGCUAACCGCUGGUUUUUUCGGAUCAGUGGCCAAGCGAAAGCGAUAAGCCAUCCACCUGGGGAGUACGACCGCAAGGUUGAAACUCAAAUGAAUUGACGGGG